CCCUUAGAUGUUCUGGGCUGCACGCGUGCUACAAUGGCGUUUCCAGCAAGUCUGCGAACCCGAGAGGGCCAGCGGAUCUUCGAAUUGGCGUCGUGAUCGGGACAGUCGAUUGCAAUUAUUUGACUCAAACGAGGAAUUCCUUGUAAUCGCGAUUCAUCAUAUCGCGCUGAAUACGUCCCUGCCCUUUGUACACACCGCCCGUCGCUCCUACCGAUUGAGCGAUCCGGUAAAUGUCUUGGAUUGGUGCCGGGGCGGCUAGCUGCCGGUCGCUACGAAAUUUUGUGAACCUUAUCGCUUAGAGGAAGGAAAAGUCGUAACA
rnacentral:rRNA from 1 species